GAGACAACUGGAGGAUGCAGGGCCAAUGCAUGCAGAUCUUCCAAGAUGUGAAAACUGCAGAUGGACCGGGCAUGAUGGAUCAACUGGAGGAGAGUUGCCAGAUGAUGUUGACCUUCCCGUCAAGACAUAUCAAAGGAGAUAACUGACACUGAUCAGCUCUACUGGUCAGAGACAAAAAAAGCUUAUGUGAUUGUAAAUAUGGUAAUGGUGGAAUUAUGGCAGAUGGACCCAACAGGACUUGGCAGAAGGAACUGGAGGAGGCAGGGCCAAUGGAUGCUGAUCUUCCAAGAUGUGGAAACAGUAGAUGCCCUCAACAGGACGUGGUAGAAACUGCAUAUGCACCCAAAAAGACAUGGUGGAACAGCAAACAUAGUUGAACAGCAAAUACACCCAAGAAGACAUGGUGGAAACAGCAGAUGGACCCAACAGGACUUUGUGAAAACCAUAGAUGCACCCAAAAGGACCUGAUAAAAACAACUUGAGGAUGAAUAGAUAAUGGACGCUGAUCUGACAUUUAUUAGCUGCAGCAAACAGGACUUUGUGGAAACAACUGGAAUAGACAAGCUUGAUGAACAUCUUCUAGGAUGGGAAAACAGCAAAUGCACCCAAAAGGACUUGGUGAAAAAUCUUGAGGAGGCAAGGCCAUUAUGAAUCUUGAGACAAACUUGAUGGACAUUGCUUUUCCAAUAUGUGAAAACACCAGCUACACUCAAA